GGAUCAUCUAGUCCAACCCCCAGCAAUGUCCCCUUUUGUGAUUGGGUCGGAGAGCCCUCAGUGGACAUAUAUUGUUCCUGGUCCCAGAAAACCUUACUGGCACCCUCGGGUGUCACUUGGCUUGAGCUCCCAGUUUCAAACUUAGGUCCCUCCCUUUCUGCUUUGCAAACAGGCCGUUCCAUUCCUCCGGUGGAGCUGUCGUCCUUCAUCAAUCAGCCAGAAGGAAAUAUUGAGGACCAGAAACUUGGCGGGGCUGGUGGGGAGGACAGAGCCAGCGAGGGUGAAUCCGAGCUGGACGGACCCUGGGACCUGGAGGACCUGAGUGAGGAGGGAGAGAGGUGCCUGACCCCAGCUAGCAACCGGGACGGUAAGAGUGGGAAGAGGAAUGGAGUGUUGGAAUCACAGAUUAUGGACUUGGGAAGGGCUCCCCAUGGUCAUCUAGUCCAACCCGCUUACAAUGCAGGAAUCGCAGCUGAGGAACCCCUGACAGUUGGCCCGACCUCAUGUUUAAAAACCUCCAGUGGAAGAGAGUCAACUGCCUUCUGAGGGAGUCCGUUCCACCAUCAAACGCCCUUUUACCCUCAGUUUUUCUAUAUGUUUAGUUGGGAUUUCCUUUCUUGUAACUUGAAGCCAUGAGUUCGAGUCCUACCCUCCAUUGUGGUAGAAAAAAUGCUUGCUCCAUCUUCCAUGUGACUUUAGAUAUAUGAAGAUGGCUCUCAUAUCUCUGCUUUUCCAGGCUAAACAUACCCAGCUCCUUCAACCAUUCCUCAUAUGGCUCGGUUGCAAUAAUAAUAAUAAUAAUAAUAAUAAUAAUAAUAAUAAUAAUUUAUUAUUUAUACCCCAUGCAUCUGGCUGGGUUUUCCCAGCCACUCUGGGUGGCUUGAUCAUCUUGGUUGCACACGCUCCAGCUUGUCAACAUCCUUCUUAAACUGGGGUGCCCAGAACGGGUUAUAUUAGUGUUGCAGCCAGCUCGUGUGAGUGAGCCAAGCUGCAUGGGGAGAUGAUCCCUAUCUCGGCCGGCUUGGUGGAAAAUCCCCUUUUCGCCCCCAUAAAUGGAGCUCGAUUGUAAAGCAGCUCUCGUUUUCAGAUCCAGCGUCAAAAUUUGCUGCUAGCCGGUCACAGCUGUGUGUACCUGAUUGAAGAGGACUUCAUCUUCCCUGUCCGUGGAAAUAAAAGGCGGAUAUUUUUCUCUCUCUGCUUCCCAAACAGGUGAGCAUCCCAGCAGCCUCCACCUUUGCGCUCUCAUGAAGCUGGUGGAGGAAAUCCCAGAGUUUCUCUACGGACACACGAAGGCUGCCGGAGACCUCGCCCCAGACGCCGUGGAAGCUGAGGUUCCUGCCAAGGAGGCGCCAACCAGCAGCGGUGAGCGAAUUCACGGAUUCCUAGAACGGUAGAGUUGCAAAGGACCACCAGAGGUCAUCUAGCCCAACUCCCUGCAAUGCAGGAAUCUCAGCUCAAGCUUCCAUGGCAGAUGGCCAUCCAACCUCUGCUAAAAAGCCUCCAAGGAAGGAGAGUUCGCCACCUUCCCAAGCAGUCUAUUCCACCAUCUAACUGACAGAAAGUUCUUCCUGGUGUUUAGUUGCAACUUUCUUUCCUUCUUUUUAAAUUUUUUUAUUUUCAAUGCAAAAUUGCAACAAAAAUACAAAAAUUGAAUCCAAAAUAACACAGUACAAACAAGAGGGGGGGGGGACACAAGCGGGAAAAAACACACACACACACAAAAACGACAAAACACACAUCUACAAAUAAAACCAUAUCAUUGUUCUAAUCAUUAUUACAUAUACACAUAUUGAUUUCCUUCCUUUGUUCUAAGACCCUCGAAAUUUUUACUCUUUCUAAAUUGUUGUGUCUAAUGUAGAUUACCUCUAUCUUUAUACUUUUUGCACCAUUUUUCUCUUUCUUUAACCCUGCAAAGCUUCAUUUGUUACAUACACAUAGUAUAGUUGCAACUUUCUUGUAACUUGAAGCCAUGGGUUCGAGUUCUGCCCUCCAGAGGAAAACAAGCUUGCUUCCUCCUCGAGAC
rnacentral:lncRNA from 1 species